rnacentral:rRNA from 1 species
GACGAACGCUGGCGGCGUGCUUAACACAUGCAAGUCGAACGGAAAGGCCCUGCUUUUGUGGGGUGCUCGAGUGGCGAACGGGUGAGUAACACGUGAGUAACCUGCCCUUGACUUUGGGAUAACUUCAGGAAACUGGGGCUAAUACCGGAUAGGAGCUCCUGCUGCAUGGUGGGGGUUGGAAAGUUUCGGCGGUUGGGGAUGGACUCGCGGCUUAUCAGCUUGUUGGUGGGGUAGUGGCUUACCAAGGCUUUGACGGGUAGCCGGCAUGAGAGGUUGACCGGAAACAUUGGGACUGAGAUACGGCCCAGACUCCUACGGGAGGCAGCAGUGGGGAAUAUUGCACAAUGGGCGGAAGCCUGAUGCAGCAACGCCGCGUGCGGGAUGACGGCCUUCGGGGUGUAAACAGAUUUCGCCUGUGACGAAGCGUGAGUGACGGUAAUGGGUAAAGAAGCACCGGCUAACUACGUG